CACAGCAGAGAACGUGUCUCUCUGCUUUUGUGUACCUGCAGUUUGUGUGCUGAUUUGACCACACAUUUGAAUCCUGUUGUUGCAUCAGCAACUUUUAUAGAAAAAUAACGAAGAAGCAACUUCAAAAUGAACCAUUACUUUGAGAUAAUUACAGUACACUACUCUCCUAUUUUUACUUGCCUCACAAAGGCUUUAAAAAUUUCCCUCAAUUUCUGAGAAAUUAAACAUUUGUUUAAAAAAAAGUGGGCAGUCUGGAAAAGGCGCCCUUCUUAUAGCAAGUAAAUAUGCAUAAAAUGCAAUGCGUCAUUUUGUGCCAUAAGGCUAGUAAAGAUGGCUCUUGCUGUUUACUGUCUUCCCCUGGUCUUUCUCCACUGUCCCAUUACAUUAAAGGCUAAAAAGCCCCCAAAAUAAUAUUACAAAAAAUGAGUGGCGCACUUGGGCCACUCUAAUAGAUUCUCCUGCUGAAUUAAUAAUCAGAAAUUAAAUGUCUUAGACCACAGAGACCCUGAGGUAACAUUGAUAAAUGAAGCACAUUAGACCAUAUUUAUGCCUCUAUUAUACAAACACAAACUUUAGUCAGGAAUGUCAGGCAUUUCUAGUAAAUGAGCAUCUGUGUUAAUUUCACUGGUGCUUUGGGUCUCUUAAUGAUGUUAAAAAUUGUAUAGGCCUGAAUUAAGUCUAUUAUAAAGCUAUAACUAAUAUAGUUUUCUUUAAUAUAAUCUGAGUUAUUUCAGUGUCUCUGGCACAUCCACAAAUAUGAUAUGUAGGUAAGUCUGGUUUCUUUUAUCAUGUAGCCUGAUGAUUUUGGUAAUAAAAGUAUUGCCUGAGAGCUCUUGCAAAUGCAGUGUUAUGAAGUGUUUAGAGACAAUGUGAGAGAAAAAGUUCUUGCCCUGUUUUGCAAAACUGCACAGAGGACUGGAGCAAAGUAAAAUAAUAAGCAGUUCCCUGCUCUUUUUAUCCGUCCAAUCCUUUUCCCUCCAAACACAUCAGUCUUAGUUUCUACCUUUAGCUGUUUGCAGGACUGACUUUAGCUUCACACCAUGUAUCCUAAACUUCUGACUGUUUCUGACCAUCAUCACCUGCUUUUUAUGUUUUUUGUUUGCUGAUUCUGCCGCAAGUCCCGUGGAAAUAAGACCCAUUAAACAGCACGUGUUACUGAAGUGAUUUAAGAAUAAUAUCGUGACAUAGUGUCUGCAAAGCAUUAAGAUAUGACUCCAAGAUUAUUGUUCAUUCAUGAUUGCACACAGUCACAACCCAAGUUUAUUGUUAUUAUCCAUUUUCUCUCAAUAAGUGAUAUGAACAAACUUUCAUCACUUCCACGUCGCCUUGGCAAGCGGAGAAGCGCUCGGAUAGACCCUAAUCAGGAUUUAUCCUGCUUUUCUCUCAGAAACCAGGCCUGGCUGCGCAGAAACACUUCCCCCCCUCAAUCUUUCAUAUGAAAAAAAGAAAAACGAUGAAACAAGGCAUCGCAGACUCACUGGAUUAUAAUAAGUGUUUGACUUUGUCUCACUGAUAAUUCCCUCUAGAAGUAAACGGAGUGUGGCUUUAAAGGUGUUUCUCUAUUUCAGAAAUAGAUUCUGGUAAGUUGUUGUAAUCAAACUAUGACUUUAUCACCUUCAGCCUGAAUGAAAACCAUUAACUUGCAUGUUUCUGUUCGUAUUUUGCGUUAAAAUCACGGAGCACGUGCUGCAGGUGGUGCAGAGGGACAUGAAGCUGCGCAAGACAGAGGAGGAGAGACUCAGGCAUAAAAAGAGAGAAGCCUUCUUCUUUGAGGAAUGUGUGAGGGGGAUGGUCUGCCUGGAAUGGUGAUGGCAGCAGAAGCUCUCUCCCUCCGUCGCACUCCUGGUAACUCAGGAGUGCUGGAGGCUCAGGAGACCCAGUGCAGCAGUCUUACACGUCACCGGCUGUUCCAGCUGGUGGCUCUGGUGAGCCUCUCUAGCAUCUCUUAAUGUCCACUGGUGGCUCUGGUGAGCCCGGCCAGCACCUCCUCAUGUCCGCUGACAUCUCUGAGUCCAUUCAGCCACCUCCUGCUUCAUUGCCUGCAGCUGCUAUGCUGCCACCUGGUCCAACUCCAUUGUCUGAGGCUGCCACACCACCGUCAGGUCAAGCUGAGAUUUUGUAAUAUUUGCCUCAGAGAGUCUGCAUUUGGUCCUAUCCUGCCUGAUCCGCACACAGUUCAUGACAGAGAUGUCCAGAAAAAGAAACAUGAGCUGAUAUCAAACCUAAGGCCACCCUCAAC